UACGAAGGGUGCAAGCGUUACUCGGAAUUACUGGGCGUAAAGCGUGCGUAGGUGGUGAGUUAAGUCUGUCGUGAAAGCCCCGGGCUCAACCUGGGAAUGGCGAUGGAUACUGGCUCGCUAGAGUGCGGUAGAGGAGAGUGGAAUUCCCGGUGUAGCAGUGAAAUGCGUAGAGAUCGGGAGGAACAUCAGUUGCGAAGGCGGCUCUCUGGACCAGCACUGACACUGAGGCACGAAAGCGUGGGGAUCAAACAGG
rnacentral:rRNA from 1 species